rnacentral:lncRNA from 1 species
CUUCCUCCUCCUCGGCCUCACCAGCCCACCUGAAUGACCUUGAAAAUAUUAUUCCAUUUCUUGGAAUUGGCCUCCUGUAUUCCUUGAGUGGUCCCGACCCCUCUACAGCCAUCCUGCACUUCAGACUAUUUGUCGGAGCACGGAUCUACCACACCAUUGCAUAUUUGACACCCCUUCCCCAGCCAAAUAGAGCUUUGAGUUUUUUUGUUGGAUAUGGAGUUACUCUUUCCAUGGCUUACAGGUUGCUGAAAAGUAAAUUGUACCUGUAAAGAAAAUCAUACAACUCAGCAUCCAGUUGGCUUUUUAAGAAUUCUGUACUUCCAAUUUAUAAUGAAUACUUUCUUAGAUUUUAGGUAGGAGGGGAGCAGAGGAAUUAUGAACUGGGGUAAACCCAUUUUGAAUAUUAGCAUUGCCAAUAUCCUGUAUUCUUGUUUUACAUUUGGAUUAGAAAUUUAACAUAGUAAUUCUUAAGUCUUUUGUCUGAUUUUUAAAGUACUUUCUUAUAAAUUUGGAUCAUGUUAUGAUUUGUAACAUUCACACAACACCUCACUUUUGAAUCUAUAAAAGAAUUGCACGUAUGAGAAACCUAUAUUUCAAUACUGCUGAAACAGACAUGAAAUAAAGAAUUUAAAGAAUG